rnacentral:rRNA from 1 species
CCUACGGGUGGCAGCAGUGAGGAAUAUUGGUCAAUGGCCGUAAGGCUGAACCAGCCAAGUAGCGUGAGGGAAGACUGCCCUAUUGGUUGUAAACCUCUUUUAUGCGGGGAUAAAGGUGUCCACGUGUGGAUGUUUGCAGGUACCGCAUUAAUAAGGACCGGCUAAUUCCGUGCCAGCAGCCGCGGUAAUACGGAAGUUCCGGGCGUUAUCCGGAUUUAUUGGGUUUAAACGGAGCGUAGGGCGGUCUUUAAGCGUGCCGUGCAAUUUUGUGGCUCAACCGUAAAAUUGUAAUUGCUACUGGCAGUCUGGAGUACAGGUGAGGUAGGCGGAAUUCGUGGUGUAGCGGUGAAAGGCUUAGAUAUCACGAAGAACUCCGAUUGCGAAGGCAGCUUACUAAACUGCCACUGACAUUGAUGCUCGAAAGUGUGGGUAUCAAACAGGAUUAGAUACCCGGGUAGUC